rnacentral:tRNA from 1 species
UCCCUGAUAGUUCAGUUGGUAAAGAAUCCACCUGCAAUGUGGGAGACCUAGGUUCAGUUCCUGGUUUGGGAA